AGUGAACGCUGGCGGUAGGCCUAACACACGCAAGUCGAACGGCAGCACAGUAAGAGCUUGCUCUUACGGGUGGCGAGUGGCGGACGGGUGAGGAAUACAUCGGAUUCUACUUUUUCGUGGGGGAUAACGUAGGGAAACUUACGCUAAUACCGCAUACGACCUACGGGUGAAAGCAGGGGAUCUUCGGACCUUGCGCGUUUGAAUGAGCCGAUGUCGGAUUAGCUAGUUGGCGGGGUAAAGGCCCACUAAGGCGACGAUCCGUAGCUGGUCUGAGAGGAUGAUCAGCCACACUGGAACUGAGACACGGUCCAGACUCCUACGGGAGGCAGCAGUGGGGAAUAUUGGGCAAUGGGCGCAAGCCUGAUCCAGCCAUACCGCGUGAGUGAAGAAGGCCUUCGGGUUGUAAAGCCCUUUUGUUGGGAAAGAAAAGCAGCAGGUUAAUACCCCGCUGUUCUGACGGUACCCAAAGAAUAAGCACCGGCUAACUUCGUG
rnacentral:rRNA from 1 species